UACGUAGGGGGCAAGCGUUGUCCGGAAUCAUUGGGCGUAAAGAGCGUGUAGGCGGCCAGAAAAGUCCGCUGUGAAAACUCGAGGCUCAACUUCGAGCUGUCGGUGGAAACUUUCUGGCUAGAGUCCGGAAGAGGAGAAUGGAAUUCCUGGUGUAGCGGUGAAAUGCGCAGAUAUCAGGAGGAACACCGGUGGCGAAGGCGGGUCUCUGGGCCGAAAUUGACGCUGAGGAGCGAAAGCGUGGGGAGCAAACAGG
rnacentral:rRNA from 1 species